rnacentral:rRNA from 1 species
UACAGAGGUCCCAAGCGUUGUUCGGAUUCAUUGGGCGUAAAGGGUGCGUAGGCGGCGCGGUAAGUCGGGUGUGAAUCUCGGAGCUUAACUCCGAAACUGCAUUCGAUACUGCCGUGCUUGAGGACUGGAGAGGAGACUGGAAUUUACGGUGUAGCGGUGAAAUGCGUAGAUAUCGUAAGGAAGACCAGUGGCGAAGGCGGGUCUCGUGGACAGUUCCUGACGCUGGAGGCACGAAGGUCAGGGGAGCAAACGGGAUUGAGAA